rnacentral:rRNA from 1 species
GACGUAGGGCGCGAGCGUUGUCCGGAUUUAUUGGGCGUAAAGAGCUCGUAGGCGGCUUGUCGCGUCGACUGUGAAAUCUCAGGGCUCAACUCUGACAUUGCAGUCGAUACGGGCAGGCUAGAGUUCGGUAGGGGAGACUGGAAUUCCUGGUGUAGCAGUGAAAUGCGUAGAUAUCAAGUGGAACACCAGUGGCGAAGGCGAGUCUCUGGACAUUUCCUGACGCUGAGGCACGAAAGCCAGGGGAGCAAACGGG